UCAAGUAACAUGAAAACCUAUGAGACCUAUCUCGAACAAUUCUAAUAACGUAGAACCCUUCUAAAUUCAUACUGGAACACCAGGAACUUUGGUUAUCUUGAAAUCACAGUAUUCUAAUUCUCCCAACCAUGAGAAACAGAAAGCGUCAGAGUUCUAGCAGUCACGUGAUACCCCAAAAAGUGCAUUAGCCAAAAGCAUUUAAAUAAAUAUACUACUUUUCAGGCUCUGCAGCAGCUGAGGCUCAAAUAUUCAACACUGGAAGUGCCAGGCUUUGUUAGGCUGAAAAUUUGUCUGGAGUAUUUCUGGCACAAUGUGCUGUAAAAAUGUUAGCAAGAAAACUAGAAGGAAGGAUGUACAAAUAAAAGCUAAGAGAGAAAAGUCUGAGCAGCACAAGACCCACUCGAGUCUCUGUUCCAAGUUCUACAGAGAGAAGAAUUCAUGCAGCUCUCCCACAGCAGCUCAGGCUUCCCCACCCAGCCACAUCAGGAACCUGACAAGUUUCUUCAGUCUCCCAGCUGGGUGCGAGGCUCCGAACAACAGCCAGCAACAAGCAGGGUGAGCUGCUGCUUCGCUGGGCGGCUGCUUAAGAAAAAAAAGCCCUCCCAAAUUGCCUGUACCUUUUCCACGUUUGGAAAGUGGUUUUCUUUUUCAGGUCCAAGAGUCAGAAAUUUAUCUGAUAAAAACUAAGUCUUACAAGCCAAAGGAAAAACAUUAUCCUCAGCAUUUCCAGAAGCAAAACAAUCAAAAUUCCCCUGGAGUAGAGGGAAGAGGAAUAGCCAGAAUUACCACUAAUAAGCCUCCUAAAAUCACAAGUUUCUCUAGAUGAAAUCCAAAAAAGCAAACAGAUCUUUAUUUUUUUCAAUCUAAAUUCUGGUUGCUAAACAAUUACAAUUUUAGUUUGUUCAGCUUUGUCAGACUUUUCAAAAGCUACCCUUUUCAAUCUCUAUUUUUCUCCUAGACUCGUAUUCUCUUAUUCAGUAAAUAUACCCUAGAAAUCAAACUGGUAAUACAAAACGAAAAAAAAAGGGAGAAGAAUUGUAACAAUGGGAGAGGAAAAGAGGCUAUAUUUUUAUUUGCAUGUCCUAAGGUUUAAUUUAGAAGAAAUUAUGAUGUGAUGUUCCACUAUUAAAAAAAAACAAUGUAGAACAAUACAUUAUAUUCUAUUUAAAUCUUUAGAUAUUGUUUGCAACCACAACAAACUCAAAACUUAUCUGUUGAAAUUUUACCCGCUGUGAUUUUGAAAAUUAUAUGAGCAGUGCUAGUUUGUCAGAAUGGUAACAUUCUUUUAGAAAAUCUCUAAAUCUUACUCAAACAGUAGUUUAGAGGCAAUUCUUUAUUAAAGUGCAUCACACUUUGCCUUUGCAAAUCUUGAGCCAUGGCAGAUCAAGCGCUUAUUUUAAAGGGAUUAGUGAAGAAGCAUUCCAGUUUAUUCACUAGAAUUCAGUUCCCAAGAGAAUAAAAUCAGAAAGAUGAACUUUUUCAUGACUACCUUUUGCAAACCCAUUAUUAAACUGCUGCUGGAACUACAGAGCAAUAAAUCACAUGUAAAUGUAUGUAUAUACACACACACACACAUUUCUAAUGUUCAUAUGCAUUAUAUAGCGUAUAAAGUGGCAAAAGCCUGGUCAGGAGGAAUGAACCAUCACUAACAGCUUUGUGUCGCAAUCUUCUCAGAUCUGAGGGUGCACAGGUGUACUGUGCAUAUGCUGAGCCACCUGGUCACGUAGCAUGGCAAAAUGGAAAUAGGGUCACACCCAAGGAGAGAGAAAGCACAGCACAGCUACCUGCCAAGGAAAACCAUUGGAAAACCGUUCCAACACAUUGCACAAGUGUGGAAGUGGUACAAGAAAAGCAUGAUGCAAAAGAGUCUACAGCUCUCCACACUGUGGACCAGCCUGGUGUGGAGGCCAGAAACAAAUCCCUGGUGAUUCAAAGAACAUCUUCACAGGACUGUGCUCACCACGGGAAAGAGAAGGGAGGAGUAUGCCCUUUGGGGAGAAGGCAAUAAAGUGCCUGGUGUCAUCCUAAGAGUGAGUUGCAUGAGCAACCCCUAUGAAAUGUUGAAAUGCUAUGUAGCUGGCUGCUUGGCACGAUGAUACACAAAGGUGGGGCAGAUAAAGGAUGGCCACCGGUAACACUGGACUGCCUGGUGCACACUCCCAUGUCACCAUUACUAGACUCAUUACAUACUGUCCACGCUUGAUCAUUGAUGACAGACCUCCUUAAUACUUUGCAAUGCACAAAUGGUUUGUUGCCUUCCCUGGGCAAUGCCACACUGAGCAGGUAGCUGUCCACAUUACCUCACUCCUGCAAAGCUCAGUAUUGUGCCAGUUUGAUAGGCCUUUUAUUUUGUCACUGCUUGGGGUACUGUAGAUUAUUCUGCAAUCCAGCCCUGAAGACUUCAGCACUAUCACAUUCCUGGACCAUUGCUUAUGUGACUGUAUUUUAGGCUGUCUCUAACCUUCUCAAAGAGAAACACAUUUUCACCCAUUGCAUCCUCUAAUUUUUUUCACAGUAUUGCACAGACCAUGCAAAAAAAAAAAAAGAUGUAAUUCAAUUCCAAACACAGCUCAACACAAAGACUAUGCAGGAUGCAAGUCCAGUGUAAAGUUAGACGUAGGCUUUUUCUAAUUCUUCUGCACCAAGGUGGAUGUGUUUAACUGCUUGAAAGGAGAGUUCCUCCACUCCAAGUGACAUCUGUAUUAAGUUGCCAGCCACGAGUAAAUAAACGUAAGCUGUCUGAUAUGUUAUAGGUUGUUGUUGUUGUUGUGUUGUGUUUUUUGUUGGUUGGUUUUGUGUUUUGGUUUUUUUUAACUGCACGUAAAAAACCCCAACAAUCUCCUCAAUAAACUUUGUGUGUACUUGAAAGAUGUCCAUCAGAACAAGAAUUUAUUGGUAUUCCUACUCUACCUUCAAAUUUAUAUUGUAAAAGGGUGGAGCAAACCUUGUUGACUUACUACACCCGUUGCCAUCUUGAAUGCCAAAGUGUUAGACUACGAGACAGAUUCCUCUCGCACCAAUAUUCCAGGAGCUAUGUUCCUUCUACGAAAAUGCUAAAUAACUCCAUGUCAUCUUUCCUUCUGUCUUUUGCACUUCUCCAGCGCCCAAGUUAGCUGUCAGCUGUAGUCCUGUACACCUGCCAUCAACCACAGCUGGAAUGCUCUUGUGCUAAACUCCUCACCAAAAAGCACUAGGAAUUGAAAAGGUGUUUUCAAGGUCUCUUUGAACUAGCCGUAAGAACUGGACAUAACCUAGAAACUAGCUUUUAGGAACUAAGAGAGUUGGAAAUAGCAACAUGAAAACCAUUUUAAGUUACUACUGAAAUGAAUUUGUGGUUCAAAUGGGGAUAAGAGGAGUAAUGAGCUGGGAAUAUGGAAAAAAGUGGACAGACAAGGAAAUUGCAACGAUGCCAUCAGUCUAGUCAGCAGAAUGGUAUUUUAUUAAGCAGAGAAGUAAUUUUGUUGAGCAAUACUCAGAAAGGUUCUGUCAUGGAUAGCUGAGAACCUCUCUUGUGCUGUAAUUAGCCAUAAAUUUACAGACUUUUUGGAAGGUAAAAGGAUGAGCAGGUCUUUAGUGAGCUGUGUUACAAAGCCAAAUCAUAAUAAUCAGUUUUACAGUGGACCUGAUGUCCAAGCUUUUUAACAUUGGGACUUCUCAGAAUUUUGGUCUCUGCCUACACAGUAAGUAUGACCGUGUGUGUAUUACUAGCUGCUGGAUUCUCCUGUCUUCAUUAUUAACAAAUAGGUUGAACUGAAGUUGCUUGGCACUUUCUUCUCUGAAGGAUUCACAGUUUUGUAUCCAGAGCAUCUCUGCUGCAAUGCUAUGGAUGCUUGCUGUGUCCUGGGAAAUCUGGGCAGAAUGACGCUUAACCAGAGGUGCGUAUCAUUACAUAUAUGCUUAACUCGGGAAUUCUUAAUUCCGUUGUAUGCCUCAGACAGAUCAGUUAUGUUAGAAAGAAUAUUCUGUUAUGAAUGGCUUAGUCUUCUGGGGAUGCAAUUACUAGAACUGUAGUUCUUUAACCGGAGAUGUAAAAUAAACCCGACUUACGGUAGAAUCCUGGAAAAGCAGAAACCUAGAUAUCGGUAACUGAAAGCACUUAAAUGACAGAAACAGCUUAUUCAAUAUUCUGAACACUCCUGCUUUUUGGGUUUGCUUUCUUUCCUUUCUGCUGUGAAUUUAAUCUAUAAACAAGUAAUUGUUCUUGCUUUGGGUUUUUUGCCUUCCUUUGGUGCAAUCUUUUUGGUCUCUCCUCUCUGGUAUCUCUCUUGUCCCCUCUCCUUCCUCCUGCUGAGGCCUUGACAAAGACAGAAACAGAUAAAGCAAUGGAAAUGCAAUUAUCACAGCUCAAAAGCAAAAGUGCUUGAGGUACACAAAUUCAUAUCACAUUUAUCUUUUUUUUUAAAAGCAGUCAUAAUAUCUGUCAGCCCAAGAAGCAUCACCAGUGGUGACUUACAACUAUGGCUGGCUAUCCCAGUGUCCUGAUUCAGCAUUCCUACAGGUACAGCAGUACCCAUGCCCUAUUAAAAGUCACAAUUUCACAUCAAAAGCUGGAGCUGACAAAAGCAGCAUGAGAAGUUUCAACCCGAAGACAGUACGGUGGAAAACAGCCAACUCCAGAUUUCCAAAUGGGUGAGAAGAAGCACUCUUUGAAUUUCUUCACGGUUUAAGGUCUAUCCUCCCAACAAUCUGCUGAUGAGCUGAACUCACCAGAGCCUCCCAAAAGCUUUACUUUAUGGCAGUAGGCAGUUUUCCAGGGAAAGGCUGCGGUACGCUUCCCGCCUGAAGGCAUGGGCAGGCACGCAAGCUCCCGGGGGCAGGCCGGGGUGUGAAGGCACAGCGCUGCACCUCCUCUGCCCCGACUGCCCAGACAAAUUCUCUCCUUCCAGCCCAAAUACAGAGCAGGUUGUCCCAACCCACUGUGGAGAAACUCACCGUGGGGCAAGGGCAGGCAGGGGGACAGUUACCGUAGAGGAGCUGUCAGCCUACACCCUGGCUUUCUUCACCUGGGCUUGUUUGUGUAACCAUACCCACUCGCUCAGAGCCUCGAGGGCCCAAGGGAAAAAAAGGUGCUUGCAACAUGCUAGGCAUGUUAUGAAACCCUUCCAGAUGUUUUGCAAGGCCUAUCAGUUGUUGGAGGCACUUGGAGAAGAGCUUUGUCUGUGGAGGUAAGAAUUUUUAAAUCAGGAAAAAUGGUGGGGUGAAUAUUUAUGAUAGACCAAGUAGUUUAUUGUUUGCCAUAUGUUUGGCUAGCAAAUAGUAGAGCUAAUUAUGUCAAAAACGCUCAAAGUAUGUUUACCUGGUCUACAGCAAUAUGUGUCUGGCAUGUUUUCAUAUAGCUAAUGAAAAUAAUAACUGAUUUUACAGUAGAAGCAAAAGAAGAGCAAGUAGGAGGCCCUGGAAAUUACCACGCCUUUGAAGAGAGCAUGAGGCACUAAGAGGAGGAAGGAGAAGCUUGUAGGUAUAUACAUCUUCUCUUUACCAGUGCAGGGAUACUGGUUCACAGCAGAGCUACUAACUGGAAAAGGAAAACAUCAUACAGGAAUUAAGAUGAUGCGUGCUCUCUUUACGCUGCAGACCACGCACCUCAGCCCCAUUGCUUGUACCUGUCUGUGCAUAAGUCCCUAGUAGCGAUAAAACGCUGUCCAUUAACCACCUUAAGAUAUUGUCUUAAAAAAUCGUGACAAUUAUGAAUCAUUUUGAAGGGAAUUAACCUGAAGACAAAAAUACAUGAAAACACUAAGAUAGGACCAAUAAGCAAAGAACUCACAAAGAAAAAGAAGAAAAGAGGAGAUAGCCAUACAUUUUAAACUAAUAGUGCUUACUAAACUGCCAUCCUUAAAAUUUUACAGUCAUGGCUUCCCUCAUAAUCCAUCAUAUUCAGCCCUGAUAUCCAUCUCCAGUCUGCUAUUUUUUAGAACAGUCUUCAAUCUGUACACGGUAGAUGGUUCUUGCAUAUUAAUUCCCAAUUUCUAUCAACACUUUUACACAGGAUGAGAUCAUGAUUUUAAAAAGAGCAUGUAUGAGCAAGAACAACUUGAUUAAAACAGAAAAGAUAUUUUGUUUGUUUAUUCAGAUCCUCUGCCCAGACUCCCUCCUCCCAUGCCAUAUCAGCAGUUAAAUUUUUCCCUUGGACCAGGAAAUAUGAAUUUGAUCAGCAAAGUGUCUGUGCUAAAGACUUACUGCAAAACAUAGAACAACAUUAAGAGCAGUAAAGGGCUCUUCCCCGUCUUACCCACCACCUAGGUGCUCAUGACAAUGAUGAGUGCACCUAGGUUCAUCAAAUAAUUUACCUCC